ACGGGGAGCCCGGGGCCGGAUCUUCUGGACCCGAAAUCUCUGGUCCCCUCCUGGACCACAUUCCUCAUAUAAAAUCCUCCCUCACGCACGAAGCACGUGCACGCGUCAACGCACAGAAAAACAAGCCCUAGCCUCUUCCUCUCGUCGCCUCCCUCCAGCGAGCCUGUCCCCCACGUUCCAGCCCCCGGCGACCUCCCUCCCACGACCUCUCUCCCUCCAGCGCCGUCUCCAGCGCCCGCGGCGACCUCCAGCGGCCUCAGCGUCGCCUCCCUGCCUCCAACGCCGUCUCCAGCGCCGACCUCCCUCGUCGCCACCCUCCAGCGCCGAUCUCCAGCGCCGUCUCCAGCGCCGCCGUCCUGCACACGCCAACGCACAAAAAAAGCCCUAGCAUCUUCCAACUCCAGCGUCGCCUCCCUCCCUCCAGCGCCGGCCUCCCUCGUCGCCUGCGGCCUCCCUCCAGCGCCAUCUCCAGCGUCCUCUCCAGUCGCCUCCCUCCCUCCAGCGCUCUCUCAGCGUCGACCUCCAGCGCCAACUCCGCACAAAAGCCCUAGCCUCUCAACAUCCAGCAUCGCCGACCUCCAGUGCCGCCUCCCUUCAGCAUCGCUGACCUCCAGCAACCUCCCGUCCUCCACCUCCAGCGGCCUCUAGCGACCUCGAAUUCGAUUCCAGCGACCUCCGUCCUUGGCACCGUGUGGACAGAGCAAUUUGAAGAUUAUUUAAGCAAUGCAAGCGGUGUUGUGCAUUUGGAACGGAUCUUGAUCUUUGAAGAUCUCUGUCAAAGAUCCAACUAUCAUUGUGCAAAUAAGAAAGAGAACUAAGCACCAACUGGGUUCAAGACAAAAAAUGAACGUAUUUUUUUUAAAGAUAAAGCAAGCACACAGGAGAUCUCGGAACAAGUAAGAAGUCAGAGAUGAGUUGACUUUGUUUCUCACGCUGAUCAGGACGGGCACCAAGAAUAGUUGCUUGGUCUCUGACCUACUCCCAAGCUGCUAGCUCUUUGGCUGUCGAGAUAUAAUGGAUGUUGAUCUAGUGAUGGAGAAUGAUGAGACUAAUUGUGAAGCCUAAAUAUUGAAGGAAAAGUCCUUGGAUCAUCCCUAAAUAUUAUUUUCUUCUUAAUACAUGUGCUGCUUAUGCUUGAGGCACAGUGUAUAUCAAUUAUUUACAGCAAAUUUAUAUGAAAUUAACUCAUCUGAGUUUGUAAUUUAUUUCACCAAGAAUUUUCUUGUAGCAUUCUACUUGGAAAUCCCAA